rnacentral:lncRNA from 1 species
GUGGAGAGCAAGGAGCUUUAUAUAAGUUUUUUUAAUUAUUUUUAUUGAUAUUUUAAUUUUUAGUAUCAAUUUAGAAUAGUUAUAACUUUAAUUUUCAAGAUCGUAUGAUAGAGAUGAGAUCCCACUUUAUCUCUGAGGGCUCGAUUGUACCCACAGAUAAGGAGAUCUGUGAUCAGGUGCUUGGUAUGAGAUUCUAUUAUAUUAGGAGGUUAGA